rnacentral:tRNA from 1 species
UCUCCCGUAGCUCAGCAGCCAGAGCGCCUGUCCCACAAACAGGAAGUCGUAGGUGCAAUUCCUGCCGGGAGAA